GGACCUCGUCUGUGGAGAGAUUAACCCGCCAAAUUUAAGCAUAUUAAUAAGCGGAGGAAAAGAAACCAACAGGGAUUCCCUGAGURAGGSCGACUGAAAGGGGAUGAGCCCAGCGCAUAACCUUGCGGUCCGGUGUUGGCCGUCGAGGGGUGUUGCGUAUCGGUUGAA
rnacentral:rRNA from 1 species